CCUGCCCACUGAUAUAAAGUUUAAAGGCCGCGGUAUAAUGACCGUGCGAAGGUAGCAUAAUAAUUUGUCUCUUAAUUGGAGGCUGGUAUGAAGGGUUGAACAAAAAGCUAACUGUCUUUAAGAUAAAUCUUAAAAUUAACGUUUAAGUGAAAAGGCUUAAAUGAGCUAGAGGGACGAUAAGACCCUAUAAAUCUUUAUAUUUUGGGUUAUAAGGUUAAAAAUUAGGUUAUCUUUUAAUUUUAUAAGGUUAAAUAUUUUGUUGGGGAGACAGAGGUAUAAAAAGAGAUAACUGCCUUAAAAUUUAUAGUUAAGAAUAGUUAAGAUUGAAAGUGAUCCUUUAAUAAGGAAAAUAGAAGAAGUUACUUUAGGGAUAACAGCGUAAUUCUCUUUGAGAGUUCAUAUCGAAAGGGGAGAUUGCGACCUCGAUGUUGAAUUAAAGAUCCUUUACGGUGCUAGAAGUUGUAAAAGGAGGUCUGUUCGACCUUUAAAUCUUUACGUGAUCUGAGUUCAGACCGG
rnacentral:rRNA from 1 species